rnacentral:misc_RNA from 1 species
AUGGCAGCACCUUGUUAAAAACAGUAAUUGUUUUUACGAUAGUAGUUAAAUUCACGAUUAAAAAUCUUUUUAAGAUAAUCCCAAUAUUAGUGACGAAUAUAAUAUAGUGAUUCUUGAACAGAAUUUCAUUGCUUUAUGUGCAAAUUGUGUUAAAAACUUAAAAAAUUCAAUGACAAUAUAAUAUAUUGAAAAGUUUCAAAAUAAGUUUUUUAAAAAUUUAUACAAUUUAAAAGAUUUUCGUCCCAAAAACGCCCAUUUUAAAAAUACAUUUCCAUUAGACGAUUUAUUAUAACAGUGAUAAAUUGUUUUAACGGAAAUUGGGAUUAAAAAUGUUGAUAAGAAUUUGUGAGGUUAUGUUUUUGUUGAAUCGUAAAUUCAUCAAUUUCUCGUAAAAAACACAUGGAAAAAUAGUACGAUUUUCGCGCAUGUCAUUUAAAUAACGCGGGAUUAAUAUCUGAAAACAAUUUUUGAUAUUUGUUCUUUUUAUCCCGUUUAAUCGGCGGAAAAUUAUAGAUCACAUUAAUUUUCGUUUUAUUUAAAAUAUUCGAAAAAGAAAAAGAUGGGUCGAACGGUGACAGUGGCAGUUUGCACAUUAAAUCAAUGGGCAUUGGACUUUGACGGAAAUUCUAGAAGAAUUUUGCAAAGUAUUCAAGAAGCUAAAGAUGCUGGCGCUACCUACAGAAGCGGACCAGAAUUAGAAAUUUGUGGUUAUAGCUGUGAGGACCAUUUCUAUGAAUCAGACACGUUAUUCCAUAGCUGGGAAGUACUUGCAAUGAUUCUUAAAUCGACCGUUGCUGAAGAUAUGCUUAUCGAUGUCGGUAUGCCAGUCAUGCAUAAGAAUGUGACGUAUAAUUGCAGAGUGGCCUUUCUGAAUCGACGAAUUCUGCUCAUCAGACCCAAGAUGCAAAUGUGCGAGGACGGCAAUUACAGAGAAUCCAGAUGGUUUUCACCGUGGACCAAGGAACGUAUGGUGGAGGACUACUUUCUACCUAGAAUGAUAUCUCAGAUCACCAACCAAACAGUGGUGCCGUUUGGCGAUGCUGUUAUUUCGACUAGAGACACAUGUGUAGGUUUUGAAAUAUGCGAAGAAUUAUGGAAUCCGAUGAGCAAUCAUAUUCCAAUGUCUUUGGAUGGUGUUGAAAUUAUUGCGAAUGGUAGUGGCUCAUAUUUUGAAUUACGGAAAGCAUAUGUCACUGUGGACUUGGUUAAAUCAGCUACAUUUAAAUCUGGUGGUUGUUAUAUGUUUAGUAAUUUAAGGGGUUGUGAUGGUGCUAGAGUUUAUUUUAAUGGAGGCUCUUGCAUUGCUUUAAAUGGCCAAAUUUUAAAUCGUGGCAAGCAGUUUGCUUUGGAUGAAGUAGAAAUCAUUGUUGCGACUUUUGAUUUGGAAGACAUAAGAAGUUAUAGAAACAAUAUUAGAUCAAGGUCACAUCUAGCAGCCAGAUCACCAAGUUACCCACGUGUAAAAGUAGAUUUUGCUUUAACUUCCGAAAAUUUGAUUUCCACUCCUCCAGAUCGACCAAUCGAUAUAGAUCUAGGUCCUUACGAAAAUGAAAAUAUAACGGGAAAACUUUCUUAUCAUACUGUUAAUGAAGAAAUUUCAAUGGCACCUGCUUGCUGGCUUUGGGAUUAUUUGAGGCGUUCUUGCCAAGGGGGUUUUUUUUNNNCUUUGAGUGGUGGUGUUGAUUCAGCUUCAUCAGCAUGUAUGGUUUAUUCUAUGUGUGAUAUGAUAGUGAACUCUGUUAAAAAAGGAGAUCUACAGGUAUUAUCUGACAUCAGGAAAAUAGUUGGUGACUUUGAAUAUGUGCCAACUGAUCCAAAACAACUAUGCAAUAUUCUUCUAGUCACAUGCUAUAUGGCAACUGAAAACUCAUCUGCUGAAACAAAAACACGAGCUGCCGAACUUGCUAACCAAAUUGGUUCUUAUCAUCAUAGUAUAAUUAUUGAUGCUGCUGUAUCUGCUAUUUUAUCCAUUUUCCAACAAGUCGCUAAGUUAACACCAAGAUUUAAAGUGCAAGGAGGAUCUCCUAGAGAAAAUUUAGCUCUACAAAAUAUACAAGCUCGUUUAAGAAUGGUAAUAUCUUAUUUGUUUGCCCAAUUGAUGCUCUGGGUUAGAGGACGACCAGGUGGUCUUCUAGUAUUAGGAAGCAGUAAUGUUGACGAGGCGCUUCGAGGAUACUUCACUAAAUAUGAUUGUAGUAGUGCUGAUAUCAAUCCUAUUGGUGGAAUAGCAAAGAAUGAUUUAAAAUCGUUUCUUUCUUACUUUAGGAAAAAACAUGGAAUAACGGCUUUAGAUAAUAUUUUGGAUGCUCCUCCAACUGCAGAAUUAGAGCCUCUUCAAGCAGGGCAACUUGCACAGCUUGAUGAAAUUGAUAUGGGUAUGACAUACCAGGAACUUGGUAUUUUUGGACGUUUAAGAAAACAAGAUUGUGCUGGACCCUUCACUAUGUUUUGUAGACUUGUCCAUAUGUGGGAUAAAUGUACUUCAAAAGAAGUAGCGGAUAAAGUGAAACACUUUUAUAGAUGUUAUGCAAUAAAUCGGCAUAAAAUGACUAUCUUAACACCAUCCUGUCAUGCAGAAAGUUAUAGUCCUGACGAUAACAGAUUUGAUCAUCGACCUUUUUUAUACAAUCAUACAUGGAAAUGGCAAUUUAAUGCAAUUGAUGAACAGGUGAAACGUUUUCUCAACGAAGAGAAAUCACCGAGAGGUCAAAAGGAUGCGCCAAAGGUACCGAUGAAGCCCAGAUACAUGAUGCUCAGCUCCGUAAUUAGUAGUGAGUAAAUAAACCAAAAAAAAAAGUGUACAUUAUCGCUGACCAAGCUCGAAUCGUGGAGAAGACAAAAGCAUUGUGAAAUCAUCUCUAAGAGAAUGAUUUCCUUGCGUAUUUAUCGAGCUAAACAGCGUUGAUCGACGAAUAAGAUCAUCGAUUCCGGAAAGUCGAACGGGCUGCCGACAAACGACCACCCAGUAAUUUUGACCCACCAUAAAACACAUCCUGGAGUAGUAGUUUAACCGUAGCAGUAGCUCUCUCUGUCUCUUAUCAUUUUGAUAUUGCAGCCUUGCAAAUGCAUCGAAACACAAGCUUGCUAACCGACUGUUCGUACAAUCGACGAAUUCUUCAUUGCAUCGACGCUGUUUCACACAUUAAAGAUCUUUCUACAAAGAAAAUUUGGCUACACUUUAUCGUGAGGAAACUCGUAACUGGAAGGAUCAUAUAAUUUACAGAUUGUAUUAUAUUAAUGCAACUAAAUGUGAGUAAACGUAUAUUUAUGCAAA